rnacentral:lncRNA from 1 species
AAAGAAGAAAUUUGAAUUAACCAAUCAAAAGUCUUGGGUGAGUGUAUAGACAUAAUAAGUGUAUAUAUGAGACAAUUUGGGGUGUGCUUAUAACCUGCCUUCUUAAAAUUAUUGAAAGAAACAAAGAUGGAAGAUAAUUAUACAACUUGCAAAAUAAACUUAUUAAAAUUUACAUUCAUUGCGUAACCAACAGUUUAGUGGGAAUUAAUUACCAUUUCUGGAGUAUUUCCCAAUUAGAUUCACAACACAAUCAGCCAUGUGUUGCUCACUGGAUGCACCAUUUACUCUUGCGUUACUAUAACAUCACUUAUCUAAGACUUGUCAGUAAGAUGUCGUACACACGGAACAAACUUUCACAGAAAUCGCUGAAUCAUACACCGUACGCAUGAUGCUGUCCGUCACUAGAUCCUGAUGCAUGAUUGAAAGAAUAGUUUAUCUCGAUACAAUACCAUAGUCUUCAAAAACCCCACCCCACUCAUUUCAUUACAACCACAACUUCGAACCAAAUUUCAAAAGCUCAGUUGUAUACCAAUCCAUCAGAUUCAGCACAAUCUGCAACACAGUGAGUUUUAUUGCAACCCUCAGUGUUGCAGGUAAAGAUGGUCUAAACACAAAGGACAUGAACUGAUCACAUGCAUUCGGCGUUUCUGAUGUGAGUCGCCGUGAAUUAGUCAAUUAGUGAGUCAGGAGAAUUCGAUUUACAUGGGUUAGUUUCUACGAGGCGCUGAAACACAGGAUCAGUUCACACUUUCUAAACUCCAUCACUAGGUUGUAGCACAGUGCUUCAUCGCUAUGCAGCCGCCGGCGGAUGCUACACAACUUGGUAAGAGCCAGGCAAUGACGACACCCUGUCCAAACCCCAGUGAUGUCUAGGAUCGAUCGGGUUGCUUCAUCAGAGGGGAUGUGGUGCGAUUCACAGUACAUCUAAAACAUUACAAGUGCAGACCGAAGUACUCCAUAUAGGGGAAGAUCCUGGCGUAGGUAUCCAAAGUCGAGUAACCGUACUCGUGCAGCCAAGCGUCGCCGACAGCCCACACCAACACCGAAGCGACGACCAAAAGAAUCGACACAGUGUAGGCCUUCACAACCAGUGAGGAGACCUCGCCGAUGUUGUCCAGCCUCUGCCAAGCGUCUCGUCUCAUCAUCCGAAGGCGUCCACUGAUCAUCUCCUGCGCAGGGUCAUUUCGAACCAGGGGGACGCAAGGCACAGAAACAAGAUGCCGAUCCAUACGCGUCAGCCACCCCAAUUCAAAACCCCUCCAUAACCACCCGAUCCAAACUACAAAUUUAACCAAAACUCACUCUACAUGGCGCACAAAGCUCCAAUUCUACCCAACUCCUCUACAACGCAUCUGAUAUCUAGCUCAACAGAAAUGCACACAGUGGCAUGCAGUCUAGUAAUCACAAGAGCAGAAACAGAUUCGUUACUAGAAUCCCUAGAGCCACGAGGUGAAACUGGGACGAUUUCAUGCAAGUUGCAGAGAUGAAGUAAAACACGGCGAGGUUGGGAAGGGGCCAUAUUUGGUGAGAGAAAGGGAGAAGAGCGAUGGGGAUCCAGUUAGGGGAGCUGCAUCCAGUUGGGUGCUAAGCACCCGAGUCUGUUGGGGAGGUGCCCAGAUUCAUAAAGCCCUAUUGUCCACUGUUCAAUUAAGCGCCAAGUUAGCUGAACCUGGCCAGCUUACAGUAUUGUACAGAUGAAGACCCAGCUUGCCAAGGCAGCCCAUGCAUCCCAAGUAACGCCUCCUCCUCCAUCUCAACAGACGAUGAUUCUCCAGACCCCGCCUGCCUAAAGCUAGGGGAUUCGCAAAACUCUGAGGUUGGUGCCACA